GAUUAACGCUGGCGGCGUGCCUAAUGCAUGCAAGCCGAACGGCCCGAUUUAUCGGGCAGUGGCGAACGGGUGAGUAACACGUAAGAACCUAACCCUCAAGUGGGGAAUAACCCCGAGAAAUCGGGGCUAAUACCGCAUAAGCUCCCCGAUUAUAUCGGGGAGGAAAGCUGAGGCGCUUGAGGACGGGCUUGCGUCCGAUUAGCUAGUUGGUGAGGUAAGGGCUCACCAAGGCUGAGAUCGGUAGCUGGUCUGAGAGGAUGAUCAGCCACACUGGGACUGAGAUACGGCCCAGACUCCUACGGGAGGCAGCAGCAGGGGAUAUUGCGCAAUGGGUGAAAGCCUGACGCAGCAACGCCGCGUGGGGGAAGAAGGUUUUCGGAUCGUAAACCCCUUUUCUCGGGGAAGAUGGUGACGGUACCCGAGGAAUAAGUCUCGGCUAACUACGUG
rnacentral:rRNA from 1 species